rnacentral:rRNA from 1 species
UACGGAGGGUGCAAGCGUUAUCCGGAUUUACUGGGUUUAAAGGGUGCGUAGGUGGGUUGGUAAGUCAGUGGUGAAAUCUCCGAGCUUAACUUGGAAACUGCCAUUGAUACUAUCAGUCUUGAAUAUUGUGGAGGUUAGCGGAAUAUGUCAUGUAGCGGUGAAAUGCUUAGAUAUGACAUAGAACACCAAUUGCGAAGGCAGCUGGCUACGCAUAUAUUGACACUGAGGCACGAAAGCGUGGGGAUCAAACAGG